GAUGGACGCUAGCGGCAGGCUUAAUACAUGCAAGUCGAGGGGCAGCACAGUUAGCAAUAACGGGUGGCGACCGGCGCACGGGUGCGUAACGCGUAUGCAAUCUACCUAUAACAGAGGGAUAGCCCCGAGAAAUCGGGAUUAAUACCACAUAACAUUAGGAUGUGGAAUCACAUUUUAAUCAAAGCUGAGGCGGUUAUAUAUUCGCAUGCGUGACAUUAGCUAGUUGGAGAGGUAACGGCUCACCAAGGCGACGAUGUCUAGGGGUUCUGAGAGGAUGAUCCCCCACGCUGGUACUGAGACACGGACCAGACUUCUGCGGGAGGCAGCAGUAAGGAAUAUUGGUCAAUGGGCGAGAGCCUGAACCAGCCAUGCCGCGUGCAGGAAGACGGCCUUAUGGGUUGUAAACUGCUUUUAUCGGGGAAUAAACCUAUCUACGUGUAGAUAGCUGAAGGUACCCGAAGAAUAAGCAUCGGCUAACUCCGUGCCAGCAGUCGCUGUAACAC
rnacentral:rRNA from 1 species